CUCACCCGCUGGCGGCGCCCACGGAUAUAGACAUUCAGUGAGAUCUCGGGAUCGGGGGCGGUUGCUCCUUUGCCUCAAACGUGCGCUCCCCCUUUUUCGCCUCGGCCAGCAAGUCCGCGCGGCCUACACACGUACAUGGUCACACAGAUAGGCAUGCGUUAGUCAGCAAACUAGCAAGUAGUUCCAUGAGCACCCGGACCGUGUGCCCGCACUGCGGCCAGGGGAUGCGUUUUGAGGCGAUGAAGGCGCACCUCGAUUGUUGUGGGGAGCCCGCACCCCUCACCACGCCUCAGCAAAGCUCCCCGGCGAAGUGCCCGGUGCCAACAGCAGCUGAGAAGCCGGCAUCUGGGCUGGACUAUUACCAUCGGCUGAAUAACUUGAGCUGUCUCAGUCGCCAGAGCCGCAGCACUAGCGACGGCGGUAGAAAUUGCUCCAGCGCCUCCCCAGUGGGGGAGGAUGCUGCCAUGACGCAGCAGCUCAUGUACUCUUCAUCCUCUCUCGCGGUCGACGUUGUGACAUCCGACUUCCGUGCAUCUGUGCCUUCGCGGGAGCACGCCGCCGCCAAGCCGCAAAGGCGCCCUUCUCCGUCCUCAGUGGCCAACUCGAACGUUUCUGGGGGCGCGACUUCACUGCCGACUACGCCGCUGCCGCUGCCACCGUCGAUUCAAGUCAACUUACGAAGCAGCAGCCGGGAAACCGGUGUGCCGUCGAGGGUCGUAGGUGUAGGGUUGCAUUCAGCGCCCGGCGUGCGGUCUUACCGGCGGCCCCAAUCAACAGAACCGCUUACUGCUUCCUCCGCUGCAGUUGCUAGGGCCACGUCCAGCAAGCCGCGCAGCACGACAGAGCACAUUGCCAGCGCCGCUGCGAGCAGCCACCGUGGAGCGGCGCACAGUCGAUUGUGUGGUACUGCAAGGGAGACGGAAUCGCUUCAUCGCCAUUCCGCUAACUCUGUCCGUGCAGCUCCACUCGGUGCGCACACAGACACGCUGGAUGGUGCGUCCGCUGCAGCGGAUGACUCGGCACUGCCGAGCACGAUUGCUGAGCUCAGCAGCGCGCACUCUGCUGCACCCACUGCGAUGAGCACAAGACGCGCUUACGAGACCCCCAUAGCCGUGUCGUCGGCAGCCUCGGCUGUUUCGUCUGUAACUUCGUCGAAGCGCCCAACGCCGCAGCUGAGCAGCUUCGCGAUUCGCCUGCGCGGGAGCAAAGGAUCCUCUUGUCCAGCUCAGAAGACUGCUGAGAGCGACUCGUGCGUACCGUCGAUGAGACUACACGACAGCGACGCUGUUGGCGACACUCAGCAGGCAACCGGUAACAUCUAUGCGGCAUCGUCGCUAAGAUCAGCAUCGACGGCCAUGACGCAAUUGAAAACGUCGCUGUCGCAAAUGCAGCGCCUCGUGCGACUGCAACAGGGGCAGCUCUCGGCCCUUCUACGAGCCCACGGGGACUUGCAGCGGCAGGUCACCGUUCAACACGGCGCCUACAACGAAAUGGUCCAGCGCUCGAUGAGCCAACGGGCGGAAAUGGAGGCUGCGCUUCAGAAGCACACCGCUCAGUGGCGGCGACAGCAGGCGGCGAUGCAGGAGAGUGUCGCCGCUCUCUGGGAUAUCGUGUCCGAUAUACAUCAGCACCUGCACAACAACGGCCGAUUGCCGGCUAAGAUCCUAGCGGCAUCACGGCAGACUGAGGAGAGCGCCUACUACUCUGAUAUUGCCUCCUUUGUUCAGGCGGAUGUCGCGGCGCCUUCGUUGGUGCCCGCAUCGUUGCUUGCGCGCAAGGACGAUCCGCUACUUCCUGCGCAAGCGUCUGUCUCAGCGUUUGCGAACGGGUUCACGCGCCCGUCUGCGCCUUCGUCCGCCUGCGCCUUGGGCUUUGCCUCUGCGGCAGCAGGGCCUUCAGCGACAGCUGCUCGCGGUCCUUCCUAUACGAUGGAUAUGCAGCAGCAGCAGCAACAGCAGCAACGUGAGUCCAUGGAGGACCGAGUGGUUGCAAUGCUGCGCAAGAAACCCACUGUGGUCGUGCGCCACUUGGCAUGGAGGCAGCAGUGACGGGGGCGGGGCAUACCUCGCCUUGCCGCCAGGAUGCCGCGCUUUCGCACGCACGGGCUGCCCCUCCAGCAGCGCUGGGCUGGGCGCUUCGACAUACGAUGUGGAGACGUACUUAUCCGCAACAAACG
rnacentral:misc_RNA from 1 species